rnacentral:rRNA from 1 species
CUACGGAGGGUGCAAGCGUUACUCGGAAUCACUGGGCGUAAAGCGCGCGCAGGCGGGCUGAUAAGUUGGAUGUGAAAGCCUACGGCUCAACCGUAGAACUGCAUCCAAAACUGUCAGUCUAGAGUCUGGGAGGGGAAGAUGGAAUUAGUUGUGUAGGGGUAAAAUCCGUAGAGAUAACUAGGAAUACCAAAAGCGAAGGCGAUCUUCUGGAACAGUACUGACGCUGAGGCGCGAAAGCGUGGGGAGCAAACAGGAUUAGAAACCCUGGUAGUCC